rnacentral:rRNA from 1 species
UACGUAGGGUGCAAGCGUUUAAUCGGAAUUACUGGGCGUAAAGCGUGCGCAGGCGGUGAUGUAAGACAGGUGUGAAAUCCCCGGGCUUAACCUGGGAACUGCAUUUGUGACUGCAUCGCUGGAGUGCGGCAGAGGGGGAUGGAAUUCCGCGUGUAGCAGUGAAAUGCGUAGAUAUGCGGAGGAACACCGAUGGCGAAGGCAAUCCCCUGGGCCGAUACUGACGCUGAGGAGCGAAAGCGUGGGGAGCGAACAGG